AACGAACGCUGGCGGCGCGUCUUAAGCAUGCAAGUCGAAUGGCAAGAUUGGUGCUUGCACCGAUCCUAGAAUGGCAGACUGGUGAGUAACACGUGGGUGACAUACCCUUUGGAUGGGGACAGCUACUAGAAAUAGUAGGUAAUACCGAAUAAGCUUAUAUUAGUUAGAGAGGUAUAAGGAAAGGUGCUACGGCACCGCCAAAGGAAUGGCUCGCGGCCCAUUAGCUAGUUGGUAAGGUAACGGCCUACCAAGGCAAUGAUGGGUAUCCGGCCUAAGAGGGUAAACGGACACAUUGGGACUGAGAUACGGCCCAG
rnacentral:rRNA from 1 species